rnacentral:rRNA from 1 species
AGAAUCAACGCUGGCGGCGUGCCUAACACAUGCAAGUCGCACGAGAAAGUGGAGCAAUCCAUGAGUACAGUGGCGCACGGGUGAGUAACACGUGACUUAUCUACCUCCGAGUGGGGAAUAACCUAGAGAAAUCUGGGCUAAUACCGCAUAACACUUACGAGUCAAAGCAGCAAUGCGCUUGGAGAGGAGGUCGCGGCAGAUUAGUUAGUUGGCGGGGUAAUGGCCCACCAAGACGAUGAUCUGUAUCCGGCCUGAGAGGGCGCACGGACACACUGGAACUGAAACACGGUCCAGACUCCUACGGGAGGCAGCAGUGGGGAAUUUUGCGCAAUGGGGGAAACCCUGACGCAGCAACGCCGCGUGGAGGAUGAAAUCCCUUGGGAUGUAAACUCCUUUCGAUUGGGAAGAUUAUGACGGUACCAAUAGAAGAAGCCCCGGCUAACUUCGCGCCAGCAGCCGCGGUAA